GGGGAAUAUUGGGCAAUGGGGGAAACCCUGACCCAGAGACGCCGUGUGAGUGAUUAAGGUCUUCGGAUUGUAAAGCUCUGUCGUGGGGGACGAUGAUGACGUUACCCCAAAAGGAAGCACCGGCUAACUCUGUGCCAGCAGCCGCGGUAAUACAGAGGGUGCUAGCGUUGUUCGGAAUUAUUGGGCGUAAAGGGUGCGUAGGCUGUCCCUUAAGUCAAUUGCGAAAUUCUGGAGCUCAACUCCAGCGCUGUAAUUGAUACUAUUGGACUAGAAUGUGGAAGAGGUGAGUGGAAUUUUCAGUGUAAGAGUGAAAUCUUUAGAUAUUGAAAGGAACACCAGAGGCGAAGGCGACUCACUGGGACAUUAUUGACGCUGAGGCACGAAAGCGUGGGGAUCAAAC
rnacentral:rRNA from 1 species